AACUGGGAUUAGAUACCCCACUAUGCCCGGCCCUAAAUCCUGAUAUUCAUCACCACUAGAACAUCCGCCAGGGUACUACGAGCACAAACGCUUAAAACCCUAAGGACUUGGCGGUGUCCCAAACCCACCUAGAGGAGCCUGUCCUAUAAUCGACAACCCACGAUGCACCCAACCACCCCUUGCCAAGCAGCCUACAUACCGCCGUCGUCAGCCCACCUUUUGAGAGCACAAUAGUGGACACAACAGCCCCCUCCCGCUAAAAAGACAGGUCAAGGUAUAGCCCAUGAGGUGGAAGAGAUGGGCUACACUCUCUGCCAACAGAGGAUCUCACGGAAAAGGGUGUGAAACCUCACCCUAAGAAGGCGGAUUUAGCAGUAAAGGCGGAGCCAUAAUACCCCCUUUAAGACGGCCCUGGGACACGUACAUACCGCCGUCACCCUCCU
rnacentral:rRNA from 1 species